GUGCCAGCAGCCGCGGUAAUACGUAGGCAGCAAGCGUUGUUCGGAGUUACUGGGCGUAAAGGGUGUGUAGGCGGUCCCCUAAGUUUGGUGUGAAAUCUCCCGGCUCAACUGGGAGGGUGCGCCGAAAACUGGGGGGCUAGAGUACUGGAUGGGAGAGUGGAAUUCCUGGUGUAGCGGUGAAAUGCGUAGAUAUCAGGAGGAACACCUGUGGUGUAGACGGCUCUCUGGACAGUAACUGACGCUGAGACACGAAAGCGUGGGUAGCAAACAGGAUUAGAUACCCUGGUAGUCC
rnacentral:rRNA from 1 species